GAUGAAGAACGUAGCGAAAUGCGAUAAGUAAUGUGAAUUGCAGAAUUCAGUGAAUCAUCGAAUCUUUGAACGCACAUUGCGCCCCUUGGUAUUCCGAGGGGCAUGCCUGUUCGAGCGUCAUUUCAACCAUCAAGCCCCCGGGCUUGUGUUGGGGACCUGCGGCUGCCGCAGGCCCUGAAAAGCAGUGGCGGGCUCGCUGUCACACCGAGCGUAGUAGAUUUUAUCUCGCUCUGGGCGUGCUGCGGGUUCCGGCCGUUAAACCACCCUUUUAACCCAAGGUUGACCUCGGAUCAGGUAGGAAGACCCGCUGAACUUAAGCAUAUCAAUAAGCGGAGGA
rnacentral:misc_RNA from 1 species